UGGAAACUGGUUCUUAUGCUGUGUGC
rnacentral:piRNA from 1 species